CUCAAUCCAUCACCCAGGCUGGAGUGCAGUCGUGCAAUCAUGGCUCACUGCAACCUCCACCUCCCAGACUCAAGUGAUCCUCCCACCUCAGCCUCCUGACUAGCUGUGAUUACCAGUGUGCACCAAUUUUUUUUUUCCCGUAGAGACAGGGUUUCACCAUGUUGCCCAGGCUAGUUUGGAACUCCUGAGUUCAUUUGAUCCACCUACCUCAGCCUCCCAAAGUGCUGGGAUUACAGGGGUGAGCCACCACACCCUGCAGGGUUUGGCUUUUUGGCUGGAGAUGGUGAAAGGCCAGGAAGAUGUUAUCCUUGGCAGAGAAAGAUUCAGAGUCAUGGUCUAGGAACUUUUAGUCCCAAUCCAGAAUUUCAUGAGGGAGGAACCAGAGGCCCAAGAGGAGGUAUCCCCAGCCAUGUCCUUCCCACCCUUGUAUUGGUCACUCACAAAAGACACUUGCUGCGCUGAAGACAGGCUGAAGAUUUCGCAUCCAGGCGCCACCUCUGACAGAUGCCAGGAGGGGGCAGCAGAGAGCCAGGGUCGCAAGGUCCUAGCAGGUGCCAUGAGCCCUGCAAGUGGGAAGGUGGGAAUAGGAUGGGAAGCUGGGCUCCUUGAGGUUGUCACUUUUUGUUUGUCAGUUUGGUUUUGGUUUCUGAGGCAGAGUCUCACUCUGUCACCCAGGCUGAAGCAUAGUAGCACAGCCACAGCUCACAUGCAGCUUCGAACUCCUGGGUUCAAGUGAUCCUCCCAUCUCAGCCUCCCAGGUAGCCCACCACCAGGCCUGGCUAUUUUUCUUUAAUUUUCCGUAGAGAUGGAGUCUCGCUGUGUUGCCCAGGCUGAGAUUGUCACUUUCAAAGCAUGUUUUUCCCUUCUCCAUGUGAGGAUUACACAACCAUUUCACACAUAAUACCGAUAAUAAUAAUUAUUAUCACCAUUAUUAUAUCAGUCACCAUUUAAUGGGCCCCUCCCAUCUCUGCAUCCCAACCCUCCAGAGUCACAGACUGAACCAAUGGAAAGAGAACCAGUGUGAGGGUGGGCACAGUGGCUCAUGCCUGUAAUCCCAGCACUUUGGGAGGUCAAGAAGGGUGGAUCAUUUGAGGUCAGGAGUUCGAGACCAACCUGGCCAACAUGAUGAAAACAUGUCUUGGCUGGGCGCAGUGGCUCAGGCCUAUAGUCCCAGCACACUGGGAGCCUGAGGCAGGUGGAUCACAAGGUCAAGAAAUCGAGACCAUCCUGG
rnacentral:lncRNA from 1 species